rnacentral:lncRNA from 1 species
AUGAAAGUGCAUUAUUGGAAUACUUGGACCCUUAUUUCUAUAUGGCCACUGUGGUCUCUGAUACAAGGACCUGUGGCCUUAACCACUGCACAGAACUGCCUCAUGUUGUUCCUUCUUGAGUAUAAUGUUGUAGCUCUCAGUGCAUCAGAGACCUGGCUGAAACUCAUCCCUCAAUCAGCUGACUUUCCAUUUUUUGAAUUCAAAUCAUUCAAAGACACAAACACACUUCUGAAGACAACAUGAUGAACUGCAGACCAUUCCCAGGAAAACCUUGGUGUCUGUGUUCUUGUGCCGAAGGUAGAAGACCCACAUGAUUGAAGGUUUCUGGUUCACUGGGUCACAACUAGAGGAGAAUCCCUUCUAUCUAAGGUUGCUAGGAUUGCAAUGAAACACAUUGGCUCCACUGGAAAACCAUGAAGUGUGAAUAUACACUGGGUCUGAUUGAUUUCUCUCAAGUUCUUACCAUUGACAUCCAGAUUUGUGAGGUAAUAUCUUUGUUGUGUCCCUUCUCUUCUCUGAGUCUAAUCAUCUAGUCCAACUACACAAAUGGGGGAGAUUACUCCUAGGUUGAUAAUAAGUCUCUGACCUUUGUAGAUAGGAUCAGUCUUCCUGACUGCAAAAAAGAAAAAUCUGAAAAACCAAGAACCCAAUCCAAGUUUUCCACUUUUCAGCCUGCUCUGCAAUUAUACCAUGAAAUGUUCAUGUGUGGAGAAUAGCCUAAGGUAUUGAUUGCAUCCCCUUGGUUUCCUAUGGGGCCAGGUGGGCCUGGAGUAUUCACAGUUCCUGGGCUCCUGUGUUCUCCCUGUAAUCAGCCUUUUCAUUUUCACUUUCUCCAAUGUACUGUACAAAUAACAGCUCUUUUUACUUGGUAGUACCAGGACAUAGUCAGAGAGCAUUAGUUUAUAAAAUCUUGCCCUCCUCCACUAGGCCCACUAAUGAUCUAUUCUGGUUGCCAGAUACUGUUUGGCUUUGAUGUAAAACACUCACAGAGUACCAGUCAAGCAUUGUAGUGAUAAACACUGGUCAGAGGCAGAGCUGUGGUGCCUUUUGGAGCCAGGGAGGACCUGCUGAUGGCCACAUACAUGUCCUUCUAGCUAAUCCUGAGCAUCUGUGUGGUACUCUGAUGGAUGGGUCUGAAUUACAGACACAUGGCUCAAGUCUGUUUAGAUUUCCCUACGGAAUUCUGGAAUAUGCUGCUUUGAUUGUGUUUUUCAUUGAAAAGCUGGGUUGAGGGAAAAAGAGCUAGGCAAAAGAUUUCUGCUAAUUGAACAAAAGCAUUGAUAGGAAUAAUGUAGCCACAGCCAAGGAAUACCUGCAGCCACCGGAAUCUAGAAGAGGCAGUGAAGGAAUUCACCCUAGAGUCUCUGGAGGAGGUGAGGCCUUGUAGGAACCUUGAUUUUGGUUCAAUAAUCCUAAUCUCUGACUUCUGGCUUUCAGAUCUAUGAUAGAAUAAAUUUCUUUUGGCUUAAAAUAAAAGAAACAGAAACGUCACAAAGUUUAUGAAAAGAUCAGCUUUAUACAUCAAAAUCUUGACUGUAGUAAGACAGAUAAAGACCUGUAGAAAGAAUUGGAUAGUACCACUUCUGUCAAAGGUGGAUUUUCUUCUAUGAGAAAAAACCUGAAGGAAGUUGCUUGACUCUAUCAAUAGAAAGCUCAAUGAUCUAGAAAGUUCAAUGACUGAGGGAAAAUUGAGUAAACCCCAUGAGUGAUCCACCUCUAUGAGCCAAAUGGUGAAAGAAAAGAA